ACCAAGGCUUGACAUACACCGGAAAACCCUGGAGACAGGGUCCCCCUUGUGGUCGGUGUACAGGUGGUGCAUGGCUGUCGUCAGCUCGUGUCGUGAGAUGUUGGGUUAAGUCCCGCAACGAGCGCAACCCUUGUUCUGUGUUGCCAGCAUGCCCUUCGGGGUGAUGGGGACUCACAGGAGACCGCCGGGGUCAACUCGGAGGAAGGUGGGGACGACGUCAAGUCAUCAUGCCCCUUAUGUCUUGGGCUGCACACGUGCUACAAUGGCCGGUACAAAGAGCUGCGAUACCGUGAGGUGGAGCGAAUCUCAAAAAGCCGG
rnacentral:rRNA from 1 species